AGUUGGAGGAAAGACAACGUUAUGAAGGUCGCGAAAGAAAAGAAAAACACAUAACGUGGCAAACCAAGAAUUUCCAUAACGUUGAUGGUCAAUGGUCAUAUGAUGCUCCUUUAACGACUCGACUUAAAUAAAUUUGUCAAAGAUGUGAUGAUGGGAUAUUCAGGGACAAAUUAAAUUACGUAAGGUGAAAAUGGUAUCCCUUUCUUAUGGUGAUCUCAAGUAUACUGGAGUGAUGUCCGUAUUACGGGCAUAAAAUAUAACUUUGGUCUGCUUCGUUUAUAUAAAACAAACAUGUUAUUCAAAAUAACUUGUGCACAUGUAUUUUAUUGUUUUUCACGAGUUUUUCAUUGAUAUUAUUAUUUAAUAUAUUGAACAGUCAACUGUUGAAAGUUUCAUUACAGAUAUUUAAUUGUCUUUGUGCAGUUGUAAUUAUAAAUUCUUAUAACUUUUUCUACAAGUUAUAGAGAAAUGACUAAAAUAUCCUAAACCACUGA